rnacentral:rRNA from 1 species
AGGUCAAGCUACAAAGGGCGCAUGGUGAAUGCCUUGGCAUCAGGAGCCGAUGAAGGACGUGAUAAGCUGCGAUAAGCUUCGGGUAGGCGCACAUAGCCUGAGAUCCGAAGAUUUCCGAAUGAGGAAACUCACAUGGGAAACCCCAUGUAUCAUUAAGUGAAUACAUAGCUUAAUGAAGGUAACCCAGGGAACUGAAACAUCUAAGUACCUGGAGGAAGAGAAAGAAAAAUCGAUUUUCUUAGUAGCGGCGAGCGAAAGGGAAAGAGCCCAAACCGGAAACUUGUUUCCGGGGUUGUGGACAUAACAUAAAAGUGGAGGCUAUUGUAACUGAAGAGAACUGGAAAGUUCCACCGUAGAAGGUAAUAGUCCUGUAAGUGAAACGAGAAGACCACGAGUUAUGAUCCAGAGUACCACGAGACACGUGAAACCUUGUGGGAAGCAGGGAGGACCACCUCCCAAGGCUAAAUACUACCUGAUGACCGAUAGUGAAGCAGUACCGUGAGGGAAAGGUGAAAAGAACCCCGGGAGGGGAGUGAAAUAGAACCUGAAACCGUGUGCCUACAACCGCUCAGAGCCCCUUAUGAGGGUGAUGAGGUGCUUUUUGUAGAACGAGCCAACGAGUUACGGUAUGUAGCAAGGUUAAGUACUUAAGGUACGGAGCCGAAGGGAAACCGAGUCUGAAUAGGGCGACUAGUUGCAUGCCGUAGACCCGAAACCGGGUGACCUAUCCAUGGCCAGGUUGAAGCGAGGGUAAAACCUCGUGGAGGACCGAACCACGUUGCUGUUGAAAAAGCAUGGGAUGAGCUGUGGAUAGCGGAGAAAUUCCAAUCGAACCCGGAGAUAGCUGGUUCUCUCCGAAAUAGCUUUAGGGCUAGCGUCGAGUAUGAGUAGUGGAGGUAGAGCACUGAAUGGGCUAGGGGGCAUAGCGCUUACCGAACCUUAUCAAACUCCGAAUGCCACAUACUUUGAGCUCGGCAGUCAGACUACGAAUGAUAAGAUCCGUGGUCAAAAGGGAAACAGCCCAGAUCGUCAGCUAAGGUCCCAAAGUGUAAGUUAAGUGGGAAAGGAUGUGAGAUUUCUAAGACAACUAGGAUGUUGGCUUAGAAGCAGCCAUUCAUUAAAAGAGUGCGUAAUAGCUCACUAGUCGAGAGAUCUUGCGCCGAAAAUGUAACGGGGCUAAACUUACCACCGAAGCUACGGGCUUGAACUUAGUUCAAGCGGUAGGAGAGCGUCGUAACCGGGCUGAAGUCGUACCGUAAGGAGCGGUGGACUGGUUACGAGUGAGAAUGUUGGCAUCAGUAGCGAGAUGUGGGUGAGAAUCCCACAGGCCGAAAACCUAAGGUUUCCUCAGGAAGGUUCGUCCGCUGAGGGUUAGUCGGGACCUAAGCCGAGGCCGAAAGGCGUAGGUGAUGGACAACUGGUUGAUAUUCCAGUACCACUACCAUCGUUAUUAUCGAUGGCGUGACGCAGGAGGAUAGUGUGUGCUAGCUAUUGGAUGCUAGUCUAAGCGUUUAGGCAGUGAGAGUAGG